rnacentral:rRNA from 1 species
AGACCCGAAACCCGGUGAUCUAGCCAUGGGCAGGUUGAAGGUUGGGUAACACUAACUGGAGGACCGAACCGACUAAUGUUGAAAAAUUAGCGGAUGACCUGUGGCUGGGGGUGAAAGGCCAAUCAAACCGGGAGAUAGCUGGUUCUCCCCGAAAGCUAUUUAGGUAGCGCCUCGUGAAUUCAUCUCCGGGGGUAGAGCACUGUUUCGGCUAGGGGGCCAUCCCGGCUUACCAACCCGAUGCAAACUACGAAUACCGGAGAAUGUUAUCACGGGAGACACACGGCGGGUGCUAACGUCCGUCGUGAAGAGGGAAACAACCCAGACCGCCAGCUAAGGUCCCAAAGUCAUGGUUAAGUGGGAAACGAUGUGGGAAGGCCCAGACAGCCAGGAUGUUGGCUUAGAAGCAGCCAUCAUUUAAAGAAAGCGUAAUAGCUCACUGGUCGAGUCGGCCUGCGCGGAAGAUGUAACGGGGCUAAACCAUGCACCGAAGCUGCGGCAGCGACAUUUAGGUGUUGUUGGGUAGGGGAGCGUUCUGUAAGCCUGUGAAGGUGGCCUGUGAGGGUUGCUGGAGGUAUCAGAAGUGCGAAUGCUGACAUAAGUAACGAUAAAGCGGGUGAAAAGCCCGCUCGCCGGAAGACCAAGGGUUCCUGUCCAACGUUAAUCGGGGCAGGGUGAGUCGACCCCUAAGGCGAGGCCGAAAGGCGUAGUCGAUGGGAAACGGGUUAAUAUUCCCGUACUUGGUGUUACUGCGAAGGGGGGACGGAGAAGGCUAUGUUGGCCGGGCGACGGUUGUCCCGGUUUAAGCGUGUAGGUGUGUGUUCCAGGUAAAUCCGGUUCACUUUAACACUGAGGCGUGACGACGAGGCACUACGGUGCUGAAGCAACAAAUGCCCUGCUUCCAGGAAAAGCCUCUAAGCAUCAGGUAACAUCAAAUCGUACCCCAAACCGACACAGGUGGUCAGGUAGAGAAUACCAAGGCGCUUGAGAGAACUCGGGUGAAGGAACUAGGCAAAAUGGUGCCGUAACUUCGGGAGAAGGCACGCUGACACGUAGGUGAAGUGAUUUACUCACGGAGCUGAAGUCAGUCGAAGAUACCAGCUGGCUGCAACUGUUUAUUAAAAACACAGCACUGUGCAAACACGAAAGUGGACGUAUACGGUGUGACGCCUGCCCGGUGCCGGAAGGUUAAUUGAUGGGGUCAGCGCAAGCGAAGCUCCUGAUCGAAGCCCCGGUAAACGGCGGCCGUAACUAUAACGGUCCUAAGGUAGCGAAAUUCCUUGUCGGGUAAGUUCCGACCUGCACGAAUGGCGUAAUGAUGGCCAGGCUGUCUCCACCCGAGACUCAGUGAAAUUGAACUCGCUGUGAAGAUGCAGUGUACCCGCGGCAAGACGGAAAGACCCCGUGAACCUUUACUAUAGCUUGACACUGAACAUUGAGCCUUGAUGUGUAGGAUAGGUGGGAGGCUUUGAAGCGUGGACGCCAGUCUGCGUGGAGCCGACCUUGAAAUACCACCCUUUAAUGUUUGAUGUUCUAACGUGGACCCGUGAUCCGGGUUGCGGACAGUGUCUGGUGGGUAGUUUGACUGGGGCGGUCUCCUCCUAAAGAGUAACGGAGGAGCACGAAGGUUGGCUAAUCCUGGUCGGACAUCAGGAGGUUAGUGCAAUGGCAUAAGCCAGCUUGACUGCGAGCGUGACGGCGCGAGCAGGUGCGAAAGCAGGUCAUAGUGAUCCGGUGGUUCUGAAUGGAAGGGCCAUCGCUCAACGGAUAAAAGGUACUCCGGGGAUAACAGGCUGAUACCGCCCAAGAGUUCAUAUCGACGGCGGUGUUUGGCACCUCGAUGUCGGCUCAUCACAUCCUGGGGCUGAAGUAGGUCCCAAGGGUAUGGCUGUUCGCCAUUUAAAGUGGUACGCGAGCUGGGUUUAGAACGUCGUGAGACAGUUCGGUCCCUAUCUGCCGUGGGCGCUGGAGAACUGAGGGGGGCUGCUCCUAGUACGAGAGGACCGGAGUGGACGCAUCACUGGUGUUCGGGUUGUCAUGCCAAUGGCACUGCCCGGUAGCUAAAUGCGGAAGAGAUAAGUGCUGAAAGCAUCUAAGCACGAAACUUGCCCCGA